rnacentral:lncRNA from 1 species
ACACUGUCAUUUGACUCCUUUGAAACAUUUUUGCUUUCAGAUGGAACCCACGAGGCAGGUCGUGCGCCACACGACGGCCAUUGGUGCCUCGGAAUACCUGCUGUGCUAGUUGAGAUGAUGACCUAUCUGGGGUUCACAGGCAUAGUUUGACCAUCCAGAACACACAAGUCAAAGGGCCACUAUUUGCUAGUCUGAACUAAUUCAAACAAUGGUCCAGAACACAUAAAUCACAUACAUGAGCACAAAGUUUCUACUCCAAAACACUUGAAGCACCAAAUGGUCCAGAACACACAUAAGAUUCAAGAAAUGAUUGAAGUUGGUUGGUCCAAAAUACUACAAACAGCCAUAUGUGUUCCAUGACACUCCAAGUCCUCCUCACAUCCAAUGCUAGGUGUGGAUAAGUAGCUGAAAAUAUUCCAUAUGAAUUUGUCACGAAAGUGCAAUCAUUCCAAAAGUUGUUCAAAGCUCAUAUGAAGAUUGUUAGGCUAGAGCAGCACAUGCUAGCUUAUACUUGGUUGUUCAUGUGAGAGUAACAUUGUUAUAUGACCAUGAAUACACAUAAAUAUAUUUGUUCCUAUGCGGUGAAGUGUAGUGUUGCGGGCAUCCUUCUCCACAGGAAUCAAUCACCACAGGAAACAAUGUUCUGCUAUUUUUGUCAACAUCAUUUGAUCAACACACUUGAGUUCCUUUUGGUUCCAUGUCCCAGAAUUAUUAGCAAGAGCAUUCCCAGAAAAUCUACUUGUGCAUAUAUGCUACAGAAAUGCUUAUCACGAGUAAAACACAUUCUCAAAAAUAAGCUUGGUAUGGCAACAAACAAACUAAACUAAUACAAGGGGAAAGGAUGCACAAUUAGGAUGUGGCUAUUUUCAAGUUUGUAACAUAUUUGACCAAGAUCAGGACAUGGAUUAUCAAUAUGCUUCUGCAGAAUCGUUUCUUAAUUGAGCCGCACGACACCAUCAGAAUUACAAUAUUCUAUUCUGGAGCUCAAAAGUUCAGACUGGUGGCAAGUUAAUAAGCUAACAUGGCAGCUCUGUGAGUCUGCAACAGGUUAUAAAGGAUAAGAUGAUGCCUACAAACUUGGCAAUAAAUACCAUAAGAUAGGAUUCCUGGUCAGCAAUAUUAUUUGUUAACAACUCAUAGUAGUAGUUGUAGCUUGUUAUAUUUAAGAACAGGCAGUAGUAGUUUAUAAAGAAAUGGGCUUGUCAGAUACUAAGAGUUGUAGGUUGUAAUAAUAUUUAAGAACUGGCAGUAGUAGAUAGUACUAAACUUUUAUAUGCUAUAGAGGAAACAUGGCUGGGCCUUAUGUAGUUAUGUUGCACUUCUUUGUACAUUGUCUUGACACAUUCAGUUUACUUGUAAUGUAUAAAUUAGAUGAAGAGAUACUACAAUAUCACGAGCCAUUGAGGAUGAAGCUGAGGUUACCAUCUAUGAUCUAUUUAAAGAGGAAAUAAAAAUCUAAAGCUUCAACAAGUAGAGGCAACUGCUGUUAGUACCUGCACCUCCUGACACAUUAGUUGUCUUCUUGGCAUCUUUGAUCUGCAACAAGACAACAACAAUCAUUACUCUUUGGUCUGAUUCCCAAAACAACUGAAAAAUAGGCAUUCAAAAAUAGGCCUACAUGUAAUUAUUACUAGUACGAAUGCCGUGCUACAAUCUUCAACUUCAGUAUCAAAUAUACUGUCAUCAGAGAUGCCCGAGUAGUUCCGCUGCACUGAGAGUGCUCUGCUGAUGUUGCACGGCACGGCCUGCUCGUGCUGCUACUCUUGCAUGCUUGGGCUGUCGGGCGUCCGGAAAGAAGAAAAAUUGUAGAGCUGCGACAGCAGCAGCUUCAGGUGCUGAUGUGCUCUUGAGGAAUCCUUCCAUGUUGGUAAAUUCAGUGUCCGGUUUCUCAGCAUAGAUAAGAUAAAUAGCAAUUUCUUAGUCUGUGUUGCUACUCAUUAAUUCUUUUAGACCACCGAUGUGGUUAGUAAAAAGAUCAAAAAGUUCAGCAUAACUCAGACCGAUGUGGAUAGUUCACACGGGUUAAUUUGUUGUUUCAUGUGCACAUAUUAAUCAAAUAAAUUCUUCCAAUCUAGUUAAUUGUGCUGCUGGAUUUUGGUGGUCAUUCUGAAUGUAUAAAUUUGUUGUGCGGAUCUCUAAACUAAUAUGGAUCUGUUUACGAACUAUAACUUAGCACUAUAUCAAGUUCUUGCUAUCAGUUUGAUUUUGGUGGUCCAAGUGGAUAUAUACACGAGUCAUACAGCCACAGUCUGCACUAUUUGGUUAAUGAGAAUGGGAGGAGCACAACACUGACCCCAUCGCUUAUCUCAGCCAGCUUCGGGUCCACCAUGGCCACCUACACCGAGCGCCAUAUCACGUCCCCGAGCUUCGUUGUCGACUCAUCUACACCAACCCAAUCACCACAAACAGAGAUAUCAGAACAGUUCAUGACAUAAUUAUACCGCUUAUGAGUUGGGGAAAAAGGAAACUUUGAUGUACCUAGGCUUAGACAACCACGUUUUUUCCACGAUGCACCAUUAAUAUCAAAUUUGCCAAGUAUCUAAAGUUGGCUAGUGCCACAGUGUUAGUUUUGCAUCGGUGAAGCAACAAUCAUUAUUCAUUAUUCAGGCAAAUAGCAGUACAAAACAAUCAAGCAACAGAAACACAUUCUUGUCCGGUUGUCUACUGUCACAAGCAACGACAUAUGAAUUAAGUGCAGCAGUACAGCAAAGGAAAACUUAGGAGGAGUUGACGCUUAC